CGGCUUUUGUGAUUUAGCAAUU
rnacentral:miRNA from 9 species